CAGAAUCUCUGGGGGUGGAACCCUGGCAGCUGCAUUUUAAAAAAACUCCCUGAGUGAUUCCAAUGUUCAGCCAAGUUUGAGAAUUGCUGCUCUGGAUAAGACUUACCCUUCCAGUGUGUGUCACUGGGCAAGUCCUUCAUCCUGUUACUAUUGGAGAGCAGGGUCUGGUGGGUCAGCUCUGGUGCUCUGCCAGGUGCCAGCAUGCCGACAUUUGGAAGGUUGCUUCCGAUUGCCCAUUUCAGGUCAAAGAACCAGGGUACCAUCUGAGGACGCUUUCCAGGCUUCAGGGGAGCAAAUCAGACCAUCACUGGGAUCAGGAAGGGGUGAGAAAUGGCACAUUCAGUGGAGCCCUGCCAAGGACAAAUCUUCAUUUGAACCUCAAAGGAAUCCACUGGGAGAACCACAGUCACCAGGGAAUGGAGCAUCCUUUGUUGUUCCUUUGAGAUGGUCCCAGCCCAGUUUCCACAAAGUCAUGCUUUGAAUUCCUUCAGCAUUCUUACAUUUCCUUAUAAUUGUGUUUCCAGGAAAACCCCUAAGCUCUCGACAUCCAGGAAUCUCAUUUACAAAAGAUGCAACUGCAAAGUCCAUUCAAGUAGCUCUUUAAAAAAAAUAAAUC
ensembl:lncRNA